rnacentral:rRNA from 1 species
GGGGAAUAUUGCACAAUGGGGGAAACCCUGAUGCAGCGACGCCGCGUGGAGGAAGAAGGUCUUCGGAUUGUAAACUCCUGUUGUUGAGGAAGAUAAUGACGGUACUCAACAAGGAAGUGACGGCUAACUACGUGCCAGCAGCCGCGGUAAAACGUAGGUCACAAGCGUUGUCCGGAAUUACUGGGUGUAAAGGGAGCGCAGGCGGGCGAUCAAGUUGGAAGUGAAAUCCAUGGGCUCAACCCAUGAACUGCUUUCAAAACUGAUUGUCUUGAGUAGUGCAGAGGUAGGCGGAAUUCCCGGUGUAGCGGUGGAAUGCGUAGAUAUCGGGAGGAACACCAGUGGCGAAGGCGGCCUACUGGGCACCAACUGACGCUGAGGCUCGAAAGUGUGGGUAGCAAACAGGAUUAGAUACCCUGGUAGUCCACACCGUAAACGAUGAUUACUAGGUGUUGGAGGAUUGACCCCUUCAGUGCCGCAGUUAACACAAUAAGUAAUCCACCUGGGGAGUACGACCGCAAGGUUGAAACUCAAAGGAAUUGACGGGGGCCCGCACAAGCAGUGGAGUAUGUGGUUUAAUUCGACGCAACGCGACGAACCUUACCAAGUCUUGACAUCCUGCGACGAUGCUAGAAAUAGUAUUUUCCUUCGGGACGCAGAGACAGGUGGUGCAUGGUUGUCGUCAGCUCGUGUCGUGAGAUGUUGGGUUAAGUCCCGCAACGAGCGCAACCCUUAUGGUCAGUUACUACGCAAGAGGACUCUGGCCAGACUGCCGUUGACAAAACGGAGGAAGGUGGGGAUGACGUCAAAUCAUCAUGCCCUUUAUGACUUGGGCUACACACGUACUACAAUGGCGUUAAACAAAGAGAAGCAAGACCGCGAGGUGGAGCAAAACUCAGAAACAACGUCCCAGUUCGGACUGCAGGCUGCAACUCGCCUGCACGAAGUCGGAAUUGCUAGUAAUCGCAGAUCAGCAUGCUGCGGUGAAUACGUUCCCG